GUGAAUCAUCGAAUUUUUGAACGCAAAUUGCACUUUCUUCGGAGAGUAGGCCUGUUUGAGGGUCAGCCUAAAAAAAAAUGACAUAGUCGCUGUUUCGCGGUGACAUUCGUCGGCAAUGGGGUCAUCUUACAUCUUUGGGGUUUAAGCGGGUUAAAAUUUUCUUUACGAUUACACGAAUGUUCCUAAGAUUUACUUAUUACACGUUGAGGUUAAUCGAUCUUGAUUAGACGGGGCCUUUG
rnacentral:misc_RNA from 1 species